AAAUGGUUACAUCAAUCAUUAGUAGAUUGACAAAGAAUCUUACUGAUAAUGAUCGAGAGGUGGGUGAGCAGACACUAAACAAGAUUUUUAUUAAGCAAAAGCGUACAGCAGACUAUUCCACAGGCAACUGAAUAUGUACUAUUGUACAAGGCUAAACUAAGACAAUAAUUUAUCCCCUUCAGAUGCACUUUUCAUGUUCCCUAUCCGAUGCAAGUAAGUUUCUGCUUCUCAUACUUCCAAAGAACCAAGCAGAGCAAAUCCUUUACUGAAGAAUACAGGUCACUUCUGAAAGAACCAAUACGCCAAGACAAAUUUUGGAAGCACAGUUCAAUGCUGCUUCUUCCCUGUUGCUCCUUCCCAGGCUUGUAAAAUAUGGUUCACAAUUUCCUCUACACCAAGUCCAUGCUUAAUCUGAGCAAAGACAAAUGGCCCACCAUCCCGAAUUCUAAGUGCAUCACGCUCCAUGACUGCCAAGUCAGCUCCAACUGCCGGUGCAAGGUCAGUCUUAUUUAUAACAAGAAGAUCCGCUUGGGUAAUGCCAGGGCCACCCUUCCGAGGAAUUUUAUCACCACCAGAUACAUCUAUUAUAUAUAUGAUAUAGUCAGCCAAUUCCCUGCUAAAGUUGGCAGCUAAAUUAUCUCCACCGGAUUCACAAAGUAGUAAGUCUGCUUUGAAUAAUUUGGAAAGCUCCUCAAGAGGGCCAAGGUUAAUGCUGAUAUCUUCACGAAUUGCAGCAUGAGGACAGCCUCCAGUUUCCACAGCUCGUAUCCUUUCUUCAGGUAGUGCUCCAUGCUUAAUCAAGAAUUCACCAUCCUCCUUUGUGAAUAUAUCAUUAGUCACUGCAGCAAGACUGUACUUGUCCCGCAAGAAUUUGCAUAUAGCCAACAUUAAAGCGGUUUUCCCAGUACCAACAGGACCACCAAUACCAACAGUGAAAGCUCUUUCAUUGAAAUCCCUAGUGAGGAUUGGUGGAGCUCUUCUGCUGAAGUAGCCAGGAGAGUAAAUGGGUUCAUGAGAGUGAGGCGCUAACCCAUCGUGGCUGUGAUACACUCUUCCUUCUGGGCCUACCCACGACGUCGUUUGAUCAUGGGUAUGGUGAUGGUGGUCAUUGUCAUGAUCGUGGUGAUGGUAGUCGUGGGUAUGGUGACCGUGCGAAGCCAUUAACUCUAGUCCGCAAAGGUUUUGCUCAAUCGAGUGGAUCACCUUGGUAGCUGGUGAGCACAUGUAGAAGAUAAGGAUGAUUCAAGCUCAGUCACAAUGACAAAUAUACCCCUGAUUUCGAGCUUGAUCAGAUUCUUGUUUUCCUCGGACUGAUUAGAGAGAGAAUUGUUC
rnacentral:misc_RNA from 1 species